ACUGGGGAGCCUCUAAGGCAGUAGAUGGGAAGUAUUCUAACCGCUCAGUAUGGGGAAACCAAUGCACAUUAUCGGCAAACGAUCAAGUGAGGGCAAAAUGGUAUGUAGAUCUAGGGAGGAUAGUCAGCAUCAGUCACAUCCACAUCUACUACAGGACUGGUAAUAAACCUAGCCCUGGUGCAUUCUACAGUCGAUUUGCUGGUUUUUUCGUCUACAUUUCAAAUGAUACUUCCAAAGACAACGGUAUUGAAUGUUUUCAUGAAAUACAGAAAAAUAACGGUACACCCACAGAAAACCAAACUAUAAGUUGUCCAUUUGACGGACGUUAUGUGAUAUACUACAACGAGAGGAGAGCUGGCUAUCACUAUCCAGACUACUACUCCGCAUUUGCUUUUAAUGAAUUGUGUGAAUUUGAAGUUUAUGGGAACUGUCUCAUGGGAUGUUCAAGUGGAUAUGAGGGGC